rnacentral:tRNA from 1 species
AGCCCCGUAGUGCAGCGGCCAAGCACGGCGGGCUUUGGACCCGUAAACGGCGGUUCGAAUCCGCCCGGGGCUA